rnacentral:lncRNA from 1 species
CUCAAGUGUCUCUUCAAGUUAUACUUGAUAAAUACAGUUCUUAAUACUUCACCUUGAUGGAUGAAGCAAUACAUCUGUGCUAGAGAUCAGGUUAAAGUUGUUUCUUACAUGUGAUGCCAUUCCAGCCCUGGACUCAUGGAGGCUGAACAUUUAUUCAGGCUCAGACCAAAGUCAGGAAUGCUGAAGUAGGGUGCCUGAAUUAACCCUGUAAGUCCUGCUGUUAAUGAAUUUUACCUAACUGCUAUUUCUAAAUAUGGGGGGUG